rnacentral:lncRNA from 1 species
AUCAGUCUCUGUACCCAUUUGCUCAAGAUCUUACAACUAGAGUUGUAUGUAGUGGUUGGGGAGAAAAUUUUACUGCUAUAGGGUAGGGAAAAGAAGAAGAAUUAAAACUUAUUUGUUAACAAUGCCUGAUGUCUAGAUCAUCCAAGCAAAAUUUUCCCCCUAAAAAAUAUUUUUCUAAUAUUUUGCAAACAUUUUGAGUAAAAAGAGUCGAGGGUCUACCGAAGACAGCCUCUCUACCUUCUUAAGGUGGCAUAAGGUAUGCGUACACUCUAUUGCUCUCCAGAACCCACUAGUGGGAUUACACUAGGUUUUUGUUGUUGUUGUUGUUGUUUGAGGAGUAAAAAGACUUAUUUCUGUUGUUAAACAAGCCAUUGCUGGAUAACUGGGAAACUAGAGUAUGUCAAAUUGAGAAAUUCGUCUCUUUCCUUUUUACCAAAUUCACCCAAAAGGGAAGGACGAAAGACGUCUAU